UACGUAGGGUGCAAGCGUUAGUCGGAAUACUGGGCGUAAAGCGUGCGCAGGCGGUGAUGUAAGACAGUUGUGAAAUCCCCGGGCUCAACCUGGGAACUGCAUCUGUGACUGCAUCGCUGGAGUGCGGCAGAGGGGGAUGGAAUUCCGCGUGUAGCAGUGAAAUGCGUAGAUAUGCGGAGGAACACCGAUGGCGAAGGCAAUCCCCUGGGCCUGCACUGACGCUCAUGCACGAAAGCGUGGGGAGCAAACAGG
rnacentral:rRNA from 1 species